rnacentral:misc_RNA from 1 species
GUCCUGUUCCUUUGCAAUUGUCACUCCCAGGUUUAAGCUUAAGAGAGUCUUGAAUCAUGGAGUUUGAAGAAGGGAACUCAGUGGAAGUCUUAAAAAGGGAACAUGAGCCAUAUGGCUCCUGGUUUCCAGGCAGUAUAAUAUCAGUGUUUGUCGAUUAUUACAUUGUUAGGUACGACUCAAUUACAGACAGUGAGGGAGAGCCUGUGAUGGAGAAGGUGCAUAA